rnacentral:lncRNA from 1 species
GGCCUCAUGAUGUGGGUGCAGCCCAUAAAAACUGUGUGGUUUGGAACCGAAGAUUUUCUCUUUUUUUUUCUGCCACGAGAGGUUCUCUGGAGGCAUACUCUCCAGCACCGUGGCUAAUAACGCGUUGUUCCAAUUCAGUCUGGCCUUGUCAUGCAUGCAAUAAAUAAAGUGAUGGGUUUCCCUGUUUCAAUAUCCACAAUAAUGUUGAAUCACUAUGGAUGAUGUCUUUAUAUUUCUCAAAGAGCAAAAACAAACAACUUCCAUAUAAAUUUAUAUCUAAUAUGACAAAAAUAAAUAGCUAAGGAUAAUAAAGGAUUUCCAAUUAAACGCACCACCAAUAAAAUAGCUAUUGUUUGAGUAAAUUCGAAAGAAAUAAAUUUUUGCAUGUAUUUCUUGAUGGUUCUGUCAAAAGGUAAGAAAUAAAGGUAACCUAGAGCGUCAAAGAGAGAAGUGAAUUUCGUGUCUAGUUUAGGUCUUGCUUGGAAGCAAUGAAAAUAAACUCAGGGAAAAAAAACCUACAAUAAAGGGGUGUUUGACACUGCUAUGUGUUCCAGCUUUAUCGUGAAGCUGCGGUGUAUAAUAGAAAUUUAUAUGGUUUUAAAAAUAUUUUUAUACAACUUUGUAAUUAAAACAUUUUUCAUUUAAAUUAAUUUACUGCUUCAAACUAUGAUUUGAAAAUUGCCUUUGUCUAGUGUACAAAGAAAACACUCGGCAAAGAAUUUCUUUGUCAAGUGCCAAAAAGAAAAUACUCGGCAAAGAAGCUCUUUGCUGAGUAUUUUAUUUUACCAAGCAUUUUAUAUUUGACACUCGACAAAGAGCUUUUUGCCGAGUGCCAAAAAAACACUCGGAAAAGACUCGUUUUUAGGUAGCGCCUAAUGCAAAAGAGGAAUCAAUAAAUACAACACGUAAAGAAGAAGAAUUAGAGAGGGCAAGCUCUUGUCGAAAAGGUGAUUUAUCCCAUAAUAUCAUAUGUCAAAAUGCAACCUCUAAUUUAUGUCAAAGUUCCACCGUGGUACUUCCCGAUCACCAAACCUUCCCUAUCCAUGGUGUUUGGUUCACCAUAGAGACUCCUGCCAAUCAUGGCACAUUCCAUAAGCCAACAAAGCAAACUACUGCUGCUCCACACUUACCAUCACCUUAGUGCCAUCAUCACCACUAAGUUUCUCUGUCAUGGAAGUGCUAUAGUCCACUCAUCUCUACACACAUGAAGUUAUUGCUUCUCCACACCAUGAUUUACUAUAGGCAUUAACACUGUAACUGGUCAUCCACAAUGGCCCCCAUAAUCUCGAUAGCCUAAACAUAUAAGAGAUCACCUCAACUCUAAACCUAGAGAAUUGAUUACUAAGGUCACAGUGAGGUUGUAGUGUAUUUAUUUUUCACAUGAAGCAAUUCCAUCUAGCUUCUAUAAUCUCCACCAACCUACAAAUGGGCACCCAAAGGCAUAUUCAUAGACCAUAAAAGUUCCUUGGCAUUGGGAACAAAAGCUAGUAAAUCUGUCAUCAUCGGAUGUUCUGAUGUAGUCCAUGUAUAUGUGAAUCAUGUAAGGAAAAUAGACCAUGGCCCAUUUGAUAAAUAAAAUUUUGGUGUUUGAUGAUCAACAUGACAUUUGUACUAACAAUAAUUACUAGUGUUUUGUUAUAGCUCAAAGGAUACAACAUGGACUUGAAUGAAGGAGAAGUGGUGAUCGAUAUGAUCAACACCUCAAACAAAGACAUUAGAAGACUCAUUGAAGAUCUACAACAUGCAAGUCCAAGACACAAUAUGGAAACUGUUGGUGUAAGGUUCACAAACAAACAAUAGAUAGAAGAUAUUACGGGGGGCAUAAGACCAUACUAGCACUACCAGACACAGUUGCUUUGCUGGGUGCUAUAGGCACGUGGCAAAACCCAGAAAACACUCGGAAAACUCUUUUCUGAGUGUAACUCUCGGUAUAGAGGACUUAGUGAACUAUACAACGGCAAUAGCUUCUUUGUCGAGUACUUUUUGUCGGGCAUUUGUCGAAGUCUUUGCUGAGUGCCAUCUAGUGCUUGACGAUGGUGAUAGAGACUUUGCCAAGUGUACUCAAUGGCACUCGGUAAAGAGGGAGCCUUUGUCAAGUGCCUACUGGCCUAGCGCUCAACAAAGAAGGCUACAGUUAGCCCACACGGUAGCCUCUGUGCCUUGAGCUGCAAGCUGGCACUCAGUAAAGGGAGCUUCUUUGCCGAGUGUCUGCCUAUCUGGCAGUUGGCAAAGGGAGCAUCAUUGGGCCUCUUUGCCCAGUGCGCUAGGAGGCACGCGGCAAAGGGAGCUUCUUUACUGAGUGUUAGGACUACAACACUCGACAAACAAGCUUUACCGCUUUCUAGUCGUGCCUUCUUUGCUGAGUGCUAUGGUCACGACACUCGGCAAAGGCACUCUUUGCCAAGUGUUACACUCAACAAAGUGCCCAAAGACUCCCUUUUUAUUUUUUUCGUUAUUCCAUCCAAACAAACAAAAGAUAUAAAUCAUUGACAUCACAUAUAUCACAGAAUCAAAACAUGUAUCACCUACACCACAUAUCUCAUAAAAUAUCACCACUUCAAACAAGUUUCACAAACAUAAAUCUCACCAACACCAAAUUUUCCCGACAUCGACGCCAGAAUUCAUGAAGAAAUUGCUCCAUGUAUGGCGUCACCUCUUCAAGAUUGGUCAAUAGGCAUAGCAUGAUACGACACCACUCUUCAUGUAUCAAGGUCAUGGUGGUCGAACCACUUGCGCUUUCGAGUUGCCCUCAAAAUGAUGAGGUUCGAUUUAUUUUCUCCAUCAUUGUAACGAGGGGGUGGAUUAUGCAUGCUUGACAGUUUGUCACUAUAGUAAAUUGUUGUGAAGUUUGACACCUCCUCCAGUAUGUACGCCUCUGCAAUGGUGUAACACCCUAAAUUUGGGGGUAUAAAAUUUCUUUCUUAUUAUCAUCCAAAUUCAGGUGUUACUCUUCUCUAUCUCUCUCUAGUUUCUCUCUCUCUUUCUCUUUUGGUUAGGGUUAGCUUUAUUAGUGAGGGAUUAUGUAUUUUAUUUUUGACAAAACAGAUGAGUCAUGAAAUGUUGCAUUAUAUUGAGCCCAAAUAUUCUUUGAAUUGUUGCACAUGUUUGAUUUGAACUGAAUUUGAAACUUGAUUUGAAUUUGAUUUGAAAACCCUAGAGAAAAUAAAUAGAAAAGCAAUUAGAAAUUCCUUGAAAAUGGAAAAACCCAAUUCAGCCCAAGUCGGCCCACUAAGCCCAGCCCCGCGCACCCGUGCGCCCUCGGUGCCAACCCGCGCGCCCUCUCUCCCUCUCUCUGUCUUGUUGCCCCGUGGGCCAGGUUUGUCGGCGUCGUUCCUUUCGCAUGCGCGCCCGCUUCCCUCUCUGUCCCGCCGACCCCACCUGUCAGCUCGUCCCCAACCUCCCGCCCACGAUCCCCCGCCUGGACGCGCCCACGACCUCGCGAUCUCCGGCCACCUCCGCACGUCCUUGCCCCUUUUGAGCCUCGCGCCCUGCUCGCCCACCUUCCCCGCUCACUUGCGCCCUCAGUCGAACCCUCUCACCCCCUCUCUCGCUCUGCGCGCGCGACUAGAGAGCUCCACCACCGCCCACCGUCGACUGACGUCUGUUCUGCGACCGUCAUCGAGCCCGCGGCCCGUCUGUUGCCUCGGUGAGUUCCGCCUUGCCGUCAACUACUCAGGACACCUUCUGGUUUGCCCUUCCCCUCUCUGGUUUGCCCAGUCCACGCUCACCGGAGCAUUUCUUGCACAACCGGAGUCCCGCCGCCGUCGACCCGAGGCUCCAUCGCACCCCCGUUGUUCUCCAAGCGUCCCAGAGUUCACACUCGAGGUGAGCACCCUUCCCAUGCCUUUAUUUCGCCAAGUAUCGCCCUAGAGCCCGUGCAAUUGCUCAUCGGAGUUAGUUGUGCUGCCGCGGGACUUUUUCCACCACGGUCUAAGUUCUCUAGCGCCCUCGUGCCGGUUCUGCGCCCACGGUCGUGUUUCCCUUGUCACCCUGAACGCGCCUGACCCUUUCCCUAAGCCCCUAAAGCCUUGCCAUGGCCGCCCCCCUUGUCUCCGGCGAGCCCUUGCCGCGGGACCAAGUGGCUCCACUGCGCUCAUGUCCGGCCCCCAGCCAUUGGAUCUCGGGCGUCCAUUCGAGAUCUAAUGGUUUAGGUUUAAUCAGUGCGGAUCUAAUCUCAGCCCUCCGAUCCAGAUCCGACCGCUCUUCUCUCUCCCCCUCACCUGCGCCUCUGCCUCUGGGCCCGGCUGGUUAGCCCGUCCUGGUUCGCUGACACCCCACCCCGCCUGUCAAUCGCGUCCUUGGGCUCGCGCCCGCGCCCGCGCGCGCGUCCGUAGGAUCUAAUCCUGUCCGUUGAUCUCUGAUCCGAUGGUCGAGAUCACCCAGUACCCCUUCGCAUGUAUGUUUUGCUUAAGAGACCCUCGAGUUUUAGGAAAUCAACCCGCCGUCCUGAGUUUUAGCGCACAGACCCCUGGUUUCUUUUAAAUAGCCCCCUAUGCUUUUAUUUAAUCACAGAAUUAGCCCUAAUUUCAUAUUUUAAACUUCAAAACUUGUUUAUUUCAUAUCUUUUUCAUAUGAACUCCAAAUUUAGUGGUUCAAAUUGCAAAAUGUUCAUGAAAUUAUUCUCUGCCCAAAUAAAUUAUGUUCAUCUAUAGUUUGUACACUUUAAUUUUACACCUAGAAUAUAAGAUUAAUGUAUAUGUUGAUUUACUCAUUUAAUGAAAUAGAUAAAAGGGAAGCCCUAGAAGUUGAAGUAUAUUUAAUCUUGUGACAUUAAUAAUAUGUACUACAUGAAUUCAUCUCUGGUUUAACUUUUAGGUCUCAAUAAAAUGAAUAGAAUUAGGUUAUGUAAUUAUGGACAACACUUAAAGAAUAAUCAAUUUUUAAAUGAGAUUAGUUCAUCUUACAAUUUAAUCUCUUUCUUUAUUUAAUUACUAUUUUACCUUUUUGAGAUGUGUUCCAAACACUUAGAGAGUAAUCAAUUCCUAAUUAAGAUUAGUUUAUUUUAUAAUUUGAUCUCCUUCUCCUUUAUUUAAUACUAUACCUUUUGAGAUGUGUUCCAAUGUUUGUACAUGCUUGAUGUGUUGUUCAUUUGUACUUUCCAAAUGUAUUGAAUGUAUGAUCGCUUUAUUUAGACAACGAGUAGCCCGUGGUUCCUGAGUGUGUUGCCGAAGAUCCCUCUAAGCAACAACCUGGUGAAGGGAAGUGUCCUUAGACCUAUCAUGUCCUACUUUACUUUAUAAUUCACUGUCCCGCGUUACAUUAUUGAAACUUAAGGAUUGACUAGUCUGUAUUUACCUUACCCUUGUUUACCUUUUUGGGUUAAUCAUGGUUAGCUUAUGCUAUUGCUUUAUCUUAAUCAAUGAACAUGAUGUGAUUAUUUAUGAUACGAUGAUGUUAUCCCAAUGAGGUUCUUGUGAUUACUUUAGGGGGCUCAGGCUGUUUCCUCUCCGUAAGGACCUGUUUGGGGAGUGGCAACCCGGGAUAACAGUGCAACCAUGAGGGUGGAAUGGGACGCCCUUAGCUGAUUAAUUAGAGGAACCAAAGGAGUAGUUGGCUUUGCCGUAGGGCCAUCAAUGGGGUCCGGGCAUAGUACUUGCUCUGCCGAGGCUGGUUGCAGAGGUUCUUGAUUUGGUUUUGUUAGUCACCCUUCCUUUGGGGAGAUGUACUGUGUUUAUCAAACUGGAGAAACCUAACAGAUGACUACGACCUCUGGGAAAUCUUUGUAAAGGCGACGUAGUGAGACCCUGCUAGGUUACCUUGGCAAAUGUGGUGGCAGAUGCUUUGAGCAGAAAAGAGUCAAUUUAAUAUGUUGGCCGCUCACCCGAUGUCAUACGAGCUAGCAAAGGAAUUUGAUAGAUUGAGUCUCGGAUUUCUAAACAACACUCAAGGAGUGACAAUUGAGCUGGAACCCACUAUAGAGCAAGAUAUCAGGAAGGGCCAGAAGGAUGAUGAGAAGAUCAACGAGAUCCGACAGCUGAUCAUAGAUGGAAAAGGCAAGGAUUUCCAUGAAGAUGUAGAGGAGUGGUAUGGUUCAAGGAUAGGUUGUGUGUUCUCGACAUCAAAUCGAUCCGGGAACCAAUUCUCAAGGAAGCUCAUGAGACAGCAUAUUCUAUACACCUCGGUAGCGAGAAGAUGUACCGAGACCUAAAGAAACAAUUCUGGUGGUACGGUAUGACAAGGGAGAUAGCAGAGUAUGUGGCUAUAUGCGACAAUUGUUAGAGGAUCAAGGCAGAACACCAGAGGUUUGUUGCAGCCGUUACAGAUUCCUCAGUGGGAAUGGGAUGAGAUGGGGAUGGACUUUAUAGUUGGUUUGCCUCACACUUGUACUGGUUAUGACUCCAUCUGGGUAGUACUGGACCGUUUGACAAAGGCGACCCAUUUCAUACCAGUCAAGACCACCUACAAUAGUGCAGUGUUGGCCGAACUAUACAUAUCUCGGGUGUUGGAGACUUGUUCUCAAAUGCUAUAAAUUAAGAACAAGUCAACACGAAAAUAGCUUAAUGGUUAAUGUCCUUCGUCCUUCGAAGCAUUACUUCCCUAAGGAUAUAACGAUCUUCGGACGAAGGUUGUGAAGGACGUACCUUCAUCAUCAUAGCAUAAAUCAAUGAAAGACGAAGCAUACGAAACAUGGAAAAAUAACAUGGAUAAUUAUAUGACAUCAUAAUGUAUCUUUUAUUACAUGAUUAUGAAUGAGUAAAAACAGUAUUGAGUUACAUUUGUACCUUCAGCUUGACAGAAGGUAAAAGCACAAGCGUGAUGCACAAGUGAAUACAAAUCAGCGUGAACAGUACGGAGGUACUGUUCAUCUAUUUAUAGGCACAGGGCGCAACCUGUGUGGAUUUACAUUCAUGUCCUUUAUAACUGGUUACAAUCAUGACACAUAUUAUCAUGGGCCGAUCGGUCUUUUCAUCUUUAAGUCGGUGCAACCCUUCGUCUCAAGGCGUGUCACUAUGCUGAAGCUCCCUGGAUGGUAGCUUCGGUGAUGCUUCUAUGUUGAUCUUCCGAAGGUAUUUCUUCUUACAGGACCUUCGGCGACGAAGCUGACCCCCAACAGUAGCCCCUUCGCAGUGCUAGAUCGUUUUUUGUAACGAGCUUGAUCCGUGAAAACUUGUCCUAGGCUUUGGAAUGCCGAAGGUCCGAAAAACACCUUCCCUAAGCUCGUUGCCGAGAAACGAUUAAAAUAUUCCGAGCGCGAGGUGGCCCCACCAUGCGGCGGGUACACGCGAUCUGGCGAUUCAUCUCCCACGCGCCGUGGUCCACCGUUCAGUGGGUGCGGGUGACUGUUGAGCGGGUGCGAGCGACUUGAUGAUUCACCUUCACACUUGCAGCACUAUAUAAACAGACGGGUAGGUGUGAAGUUACCACAACAUUCAUUGUCAUUGCACUGUUUUGCUGCUGAAAAAUUUAACCAUAGCCGAAGCUUUCUCAUCGCAUUCUCAAGCAAAGCAUCAUUUUGAUUUAGCUUCGGCAUAAGAGGGAGCUUUGUCAAAACUAUAAAAAUCAUCAACAUUCGUAAGAACUGCAAGAAAUUCAACACCUGAUGGCUAGAGUACGUUCAACUGCUAGAGUGACCCGUGACGGAGAGGAGGCCGAAGCCACCGAAACAGCCCCGAUUUCCGAAGUUAUGAAGCAAUCUAGAUUGGUUGUGACAGAGGGGACUGUUGACGAAGAUGUACAUACUGCUGAGGCUGAAGAAGCUGAUGUUGAGGAAGGAAAUACUGAUGAAGAAGAAGACUAUAACACUCUAGUCCCAUCAAAGCCUAACAACUUAGAUUUUGAAAAAUCUACUGUCUCUGAGGCCGAUGUGCCGAUGAUGAUGAAGCUCGGUUACUUCGAGGAGUCAGAGAAGAAGCUUCUUUGUUUUGCCGGUGAAGCAACCAUCCCAGAGCCAAAAGAUGACGAAGUGGUAGUUUUCAAAAGCUUUUUCAAAGAUGGAUUGCGGUUUCUGCUUCAUGAGAUGAUUGGGGAAGUUUUGAAUAAUUAUGAAAUUUAUCUUCAUUAGCUGACUCCUAACGCUAUCGUUAGGCUCAGCAUGUUCAUUUAGGCCCUUCGAAGCCAGGGAAUGGAUCCAAAUGCUAAAUACUUCUGCUGAGUACAUGAGCUACAUUAUCAGACGAAGGCUAGAGAAGAUAGGCUUCAUGAGAAUUUUGGCUAAGCUACCGCACCAAGUGGCCAACUGGCUGGAAAAGUGAGUGGUUCUACAUUAAAGCUGAUGAGAAGAAAAGGGAGAAGCUGAAGACGUUAGUACUGAGCCCGUUGAGUUUGAGCUACGGGUUGACUAGGCCCUUGUGCCGUAUGUCGUCGGGGUCACCAUGCCAACAGGUUGUGGCAGAAUUUAGAGUUGUGACUGAGCAGAUCGGCACUAGAGAUCUGGUACAAGAAUUCUUAGCCUAUGGGGUAUUUCCGACGUUGAGUGAAUGGAAUAUGCCGAAGCUGAAAGGAGAAAAGAAAAAGAAUGAACUUGUUCGAUUGCCAUAUCACUUCAAGUUCAAGAAACAAUUCAAAGAGCCUUGCCAAAAGUGGCUAGAAAUGAUUGAGGCUACGUGCAAUGAGAUUUUGGGCAACUAUACUAAAAAAUAAGAUCAACUGAUGACUGCAGCCUUCGGCACCCGACCGAAGCGAAGGCUGAAUCGAGUAAUGGAUGCGCUGAACUUUGAAUAUCCUGACUAUAAACGAUUAAGCAAGGGUGCCGAAGGGUCAAAGUGAAAAAGGGUUGUCAGUGUUAUGAACAGACAGGCUGCUAGGAUGAUAAAAGAAGAUGAAUUUUUUUUGAAAAAAAAGUCUAGUCCUGAGCCGAAGGUGACAACCUCGAAGAAGAGGAAAACAGCAACUCCAGAGCCGAAGAUGGCUGAGAUAGAAGAGGGAGCUCCUUCGACACCUUCUGCUACUGAAGUGGAAGAAAUUUUAAAGGUAAUGACCGAAUCCUUACCUAUCAAGCUACUAAGUCCCCUGGGGCCAGAACUGACAAAGCUUUUAUAGAAGAAGGACGAGCCUUCGGCAGCGAAGAAGGCGGUUGGGCGAAAAAAGCAAAGGAUUGUUACUGUUAUGCAAGCAAUUGAAGAAACGCCACUGCUGGCCUCAGCGUCAAAAAUAACACCAGCUACUGAAGUUGCUACAGCUACCGAAGCUGCUCCCACUGAAGCUACAACUGCCAAAGCUGCAACGGCCGAAGCCAUGAAUCUGGAGAGCACAUUAUCUGAUAUUGAUAGAAUACUCUUGGAUAUGGCCGCAGAAGAAGCUGCUGCAGCUGCUGAAGAAACCCUGGCCACAGUGCCUAGAAAAGGCAAGGAGAUUGCCGAAGAUAUUUUGGAGGAAAAAGACUUCAAUUUUCAAAACAUAAUUGGUCAAGAGUUAUCUAAGGCUGAGAAAGAGGAGCUGCGGGAUUAUGCUAUAUCCUGUGGCUACCAGCACUAUACCAUGACAUAAAAUUAGCGACAAACAUUUGUCGGUAAAAAUAGGCUUUUGGCGACAGCCAGUCUGUCGCAACAUAAUACCAUCACAGCAUCCGUCGGCAUAUAGUAUUUUGGUGUCAAACAAACUGUCAGCAAAAAUUUCUAGCUAUUGUGAUAGACUAUCUGUCGGUAUAAACAAUUAUUCGUGACACAACAUCUGUCGGAAACAAACUGCUAGGACUUAAUUAAAAAAGACCAACAUGUCAUCCUCCUGCGCUAGCCGGCUGGGUACCCGUAAGCAAAAAAUACCAUCGCGUGUGCUGUAGUCCGGCCUGCGCAGGAGCCGCCGCCGCGCCUUACCCUAGACGCCGCCGCCGCCGACGUCCGGCCUGCGCUCCCUCACCCGCGCGCGGUCGCGCCCAGCCUCCGUUGCCCUCAGUCGAUCAGCAGCCGCCAGUCCACCACUGCCUCACGCCCUUCGUCGAGCACGGCCAAUCCACUUCGUCCCCUCCUGCUGCUGAUCCCCUUCGUCGAGCACGGCCAAGGUUGGUUUCCCUUCUUGCCCCUGCCUCCAUUUCUCUCGUCUGUGGUUGCUGAUGGUGUAGCCCAACACGUUAAGCCAUGAUCUAUGCAUAAUUACCUGAAGUAGUAUUCGUUGGCACGAGCGUUUCGAUGUCGAAGCUCUGCACGACGGAGACGAUGACAGACUUCAUCUCCAUGAUGGCGAGCUCUCUGCUGAGCAGACGUGCACGCCGCCCUGGAAGAUUGGGUACCCGUAGGGACUCGAUCUCGGGCACGAACGCCGUCAUGGAGCCACGGUCCAGCCAAUCGGGGCCUCACAUGGCUUCUGGUAAUUAAUGUUAAGUGGAUUUAGUGUGUAACUUGACUCUUAUCUCUCGGUUAGUCCUAAUUCCUAAAAGCAUAUCGGUAUUUUUUUUGGUUCAUGAUUACUAUGAUUUGAAAUCAACACACCCAAAAUGCUUCAUUAGCAAUUUACUGAAGGAUGACAGAGCACGUAGGUUUAGCCGUCAGUUCAACUUUCUAGGGUACUGUAUCGAAUAUUGAAGAUCAGUGAACCACAAAUGUCCAAGUACGAAGAGUUUCAGUAAGAUGUUACUUCAGUGUUGAUGGAUUCUUCUAGUGAAAUGAUUACAAAAAUGAUAUGGAGUUACUUGAUAGUUGAUACUGAUAUUUGCUCUGAAUGCAUGGCAUUUUGUGAUGAUUUUACUGUGGUCAGGGUACAGUAUUUUUUGAACUUUAGCUAGUCCCUUAAAUUAAUAUAGUAAUUGUUCUCAUUAGUGUUGCAAAGGUCAUAAACCCUUCGAUCUGCCCGUAGACAAUGCAACUGUCGAAGGAUUUAGCAAAUUCAGAUAAAAAAGAACUACUAAACCAAGAUAUCCGCACCUUAGUGUUAUUAUUAUUGUGUGUUCUAUUGUUUUAGCCAUCCACUUGUGUCUUACUAUCAUUAUUUUAUUUAAAAUUUUAUACAUUUUAUUUUUAAAACAAAAUUAAAUCGAUAUGCUUUUAAUCACAGGAGAAGGGGACGGUGGCGAGUCACAAGCGGCCGACUGCCACCAUCGAGGAGUAGUGUGGGCAGGCUGCCGGCGAGGGCAAGUGUGCGCGACUACCGCGAGGACGAGUGCGGGCGGGCUGCUACAGAUUCUUGGAUCACAUCCAUUGGUAAGUGGUAAUCUCCAGCCUUAACUUUUCCAUAUUCUAUUGAUUAGAACUAUCUUCACUAGGAAAUCUACUUAAUUCGGUUUUUAUCUUUGGUACUUGUAAUGAUCCCCCCUUUUCCACCAUUUUUUCACCUAUAUUAUGAAGCUGGGAAGGGUACAAUCCAUCUUAUUAUUUAUUAAGGUACAACAUGGAUAAAAGGUGGAUGAAUGAACCUAGGUAUAUUUCUGACAAUCCACUAUAAACCAUUAUUUUUUGGUAAUCACCUUGUACCAACAUAUCGUAUUUGUACCUAAUCUUCAUAGGCACACGAAGGUCUACAUAGAUGGGGUGGCUGGAUUUAUUGAGUUUGCGUUUAGCAAUUCUAUAGGUGGAAACAAAAUUCUAUGUCCUUGUAGAAAAUGUGUUAAUUCUCUAUGGAAAGAUGAAAAUGAAGUUCGUGCACACUUGAUAUGUGAUGGCUUUCAAGAGGGAUACAAAAGGUGGACUUAUCAUGGAGAAAUAGACUCUAUGCCUAUUAAUAGUCAUGACUACACUGAUACAGAGGCUGUAAACAAUUCAGAUGAAGAUGACAUAGCCAAUUUGGUUCAAGACUUAGCUGGUGGUCUAGAUGAUAAAGGGGAUUUUGAAGUAUCUGAUGGUUUAGAUGAAACUGAUGUAGAUUUAGAAGCCAUCAAUCAGUUAGCGAUAGAUAAUACCCAAGAGCUAUACCCAGGGUGUAAGAAGUUCUCCAAGUUGCAUUUCUUAAUAAGAAUUCUUCACUUGAAAUUGCUUGGAGGGUGGACAGAUAAAAGUUUUGAUAUGCUACUAGAUCUACUAAUGGAGGCUUUCCCUGAUGGCUUGGCAUUGCUAAAAAAUUUCAAUGAAGCAAAGAAAGUAAUUAAGUGUCUAGGACUCGGGUAUAUAAAAAUUGAUGCAUGUGAAAAUGAUUGUAUUUUGUUUAGGAAGGAGUAUGCUAAGUAUGAUGCAUGUCCCACAUGUGAAAGGUCACGCUGGAAAUAAAAAAGGAUAAGUUUAAAUGGAAAACGUGUACACAAGGUUCCAUGCAAAGUUCUUCGUUAUUUUCCAAUAAAAAGAAGGCUUCAGAGGUUAUUUCUGUCAUCUAAGAUAGCAAGUGACAUGAGGUGGCAUGAUGAGGAGCGUAUACAAGAUGGAUUACUAAGGCAUCCUGUAGAUUCACCUCUCUGGAAGGAUUUUGACCAAAAGCACCCAGUGUUUGCUUCUGAUAGUCGCAACAUUAGACUUGCUUUAGCUACAGAUGGUUUUAAUCCGUUUAGGUCCAUGAAUGUUAGCUAUAGCAUUUGGUAUGUUAUUCUCAUCCCAUAUAACUUUGCACCAUGGUUGUGUAUGAAGCAAACAAAUUUCAUUAUCUCAUUGCUGAUUCCAGGCCGUAGAUCUCCUGGUAGUGAUAUAGAUAUUUAUUUUCAGCCACUAAUUGAUGAUCUGCUAGAUAUGUUUGUUGAAGGGGUAAGAACUUAUGAUUCUUCAAAGCAUGAGUAUUUUCAAUUGCGUGCUGCAAUAAUAUGGACCAUAUCUGAUUAUCCAGGUCUAGGGUACAUUGCAGCAUGUAGUACAUCAGGUGAAGUAGCAUGUAUUGAAUGCCACUCAUAUACAUGUUCUCUACGAUUGAAACAAGGUACAAAAAAUUGUUAUAUGGGACACCAUAGAUUCUUGGGCCCAAACCAUCCAUAUAGAUUUGAUCUAGAUUCAUUUGAUGGUAAAGUUGAGGAUAGGCCAGCGCCUAGACCACUUUCUGGAGAGGAAAUUUUAUUGCAAACAGAGAAUAUGCACACAGUGCAUGGGAAAGGUUGCCAACAUAAAAAGAAAGCAAAAAAGAAGGAAGGGGAGCCUACUAUCAUAUGGAAAAGGAGGUCUAUUUUUUUAGGCUUCCAUAUUGGAAGGAUUUAAUGUUACGACAUAAUUUAGAUGUCAUGCAUAUUGGGAAGAAUGUGUGUGAUAACAUUGUCAACACCCUCCUAGGCAUUCAACGGAAGUCCAAGGACAACUUGAAAUAUCGUUUGGAUCUUCAGUCCCUAGGCAUUCGAACUGAGCUUCAUCCUAUUCCAGUGGGUGACAAGUUAUAUUUACCACCAGCAUCAUAUACAAUGAGUGCGUCCGAGAAGACAUUAUUUUGUGAGGUAUUGAAAGGAGUAAAAUUUCCAGAUGGAUAUGCAUCAGAUAUAAGAAACAAUGUGGAUGUGAAGGAGAAGAAGCUUGUUGGGCUAAAGAGCCAUGAUAACCAUGUUCUGUUACAGUAUUUACUGCCACUUGCUCUGAGAAGGAUUUUACUAGAAAUAGUUAGUGCUGCGUUGAUUCGUGUGAGCAAUUUUUUCAAGCAAAUCUAUUCGCCAGUUAUUCAUAUAAGCGAUAUGCAUAAGCUAGAGUCAGAAAUAGCUGAGACUCUAAGCAUACUUGAGACUAUAUUCUUGCCAUCCUUUUUUGAUAUUAUGGUACACUUAAUGGUUCAUCUCCCUACUCAAGUUAGAAUUGCUGGCCCUGUUCAAUUUCGUAAUAUGUACCCAGUGGAGAGGUAAAAUUUAAUAUAUUUUAGCAAUAAAUUAAACUUAGUUUUACUCAAAGGAAGGUUUAACAUAUAUGCCAUUUCUCUUUUAUAGGUUUUUAAUGAGAUGUAAGGGCCAUGUUCGCACUAGGAGUCACCCAGAGGGGUCAAUUGCAGAAAGUUAUCUAUUUGAUGAGAGCCUCACAUUCUGUUCUCGCUAUUUACAUGGUGAAACUAGAUUUAACCGGAAAAAAAGAAAUGACGAUGGCUUGGAUGUUGAUUUAAUCAAUACCACCCCUUUCUUCCAUAACAUAGGUCGAGGAUUGGUUGGUAAGCAUAGUGUCACAUUAGACCACAAAACAUGGCUUCAAGCACAUAGAUAUGUCUUGUUCAACUAUGACCAUAUAGAGCCUUACUUGAAGUAAGUUAACCAUUAUAUGUUAUAAUCAGUAUCACCCAUUUAUUUCAUGAUUACUAAAUUAUAAUGUUUGUUUAGUAAACAUAUAGAAUACCUUUACUCUGGUGGUCAUCAAAAUCAAAGAGCAAUCAAUCGUUUACACUAUGAGACUUUUCACGAGUGGUUUAAGUCACACGUAAGUAUCUAGGAAAAUGUUUAUAUAGAAUAUAGUUCCACAUUAUUUCUUUAGUGCAAUAACAAUCUUCAAUAUCAUCAGGUGGAAACAACGGGUGAAGAAUUACCUGAGGAGAUAACAAUAUUAGCUAAGGAGCCUAACAUGGUUGCACAUUCUUAUGACAGUUAUACUAUAAAUGGGAUAAAUUUCCAUACACAUUCUUAUGAUGUGGGUAGGUCAGUGCAGUGUAGUGGUGUAGCCCUAGUUGCACAAGCAGCAAGUUUUGAUGGGACAAACAAUAAUAACCCAAUAUCAACGAGCAAAACUUAUUAUGGUGUUAUAAAAGACAUUCUUGAGCUUAACUACCAUCACCAGGGAAAAAUAGUAUUGUUCAAAUGUGAUUGGAUUGAUAACCGAGUACGAGACAAAUGGGUCAAAAUAGACAAGUUUGGGGUGACAAUGGUCAACUUCAAGCAUUUAUUCAAUACAAGGAAUUAGAUGAGCCAUUUAUUUUUGCAUCUCAGGCAACUCAAGUUUACUAUGUGCAAGAUCCUAUUGAUGCUGAUUGGUUUGCUGUUUUAAAGUCAAAACAACGUGACAUGUAUGAUAUGGAAGAAAGGCUAGACAAUAGUACAGAAAUAGGUUCUUUCUUGCCAGAUUUGGAUGCAAACACACAAGUUAAUGUAUCUAUUGGUGGUAGUUGUGUUAGGACUGAUAUAGAUGGAAUAAUGAUUGCCGAAAACCAACCUAGCAAGUAAGAUAUGUUUAUAUCUGUUUUCGGAAAAAUGUUUCAUUUUACGUUGUAAUCUCUUUGUCUUGAAUCUUGAUUGUAAUCUCUUUAUGUCUUGAUUCAGGAGGAAAGUUUGUAAGAGGAAGAGGAAUGGGUAAAGAAACAGAGGUCAAUGAAUAUGAACUACAAAGGGCUGCCAACAUAAAAGAAAAUUUGAAGAGGAUGAGAUCUCUUAAUCUCCAUGUACCUAGUACUAUGGUUAAUGAAGAAGCAAAUGGAUCACAUCGAGCCAAUAAGAAAUAUAAGGUUAAUGUAUUUCCCUAUUUAAUAAGUCCAUGUUUUUUACAUUUAAUUUAAUAGUACCACAAUCUAUCUCAAUACAUGCAUUCUGCAGUCUCUACUUCUUGUACUGUUUUCAAUAUUUCAGUUUCAGACUUUCAGUUCUUGUACUGUCUGUGUAUCCCAGUAAAGAUAGUUCUGUUCCUCCUCCUUUCUUGAGUUUAAGACCAUCUGUGUGUACCAGCAAUGUACCAGCAAUGUAUCUUACCUGACAUAGCUCCCAAUAAAGAUAGUUCUGUUCCUCCUCCUUUCUUCAGACUUUCAGUUCUUGUACUGUCUGUGUGCGUCAUCUGUCCAUAGGAGUAUCACAGGGAUUACAUCCUUUCAUCUGACAUAGCUCUACUAUUUUUGCAGCAUAAGCACUUUGAUAGACAAUUAGUUCCUUUCUUGUAGAGUCAUUACAUCCUUUCAUCUGACAUCCACAUAAACCCCUACCAUCAACAGUGAAUCAUUAGUUCCUUUCUUGUAGACAACAUCCUCCACAUUCCCAGCUGCUUCAAUACAUUCCCUGCUUCAAUACAUUCCCAGCUGCUUCAAUACAUUCCCAGCUGCUUCAAUACAAUCCCAGCUGCUUCAAUACAAUCCCAGCUGCUUCAAUACAUUCCCAGCUGCUUCAACCACCACUUCAAUCCUAUAGCUCUACGCCCUUUAGGCAAAUCUGGCCAAGACCAGGUGUUGUUGUUUUCUAUGGCCUGCAGCUCUGAAUUCAUUGCAUCUCUCCAAUUCUGGUCUGCCAAGGCACUCUCUACACCUUGCCAGACAACUUGUCAAUUUCAGUAGACACCUUGCCAUCUCCACUACUGUUUGAUUUCUUCUCUCGACAACUCCAUUCUGUUGAGGAGAAUAAGGCGUAGUAGUGUAAUGCUUGAUGCCACACUCAAGACAUGGUGCCGCUGGUCGACGAAUAUGGCUUCAGCUGUGCUGCGCCCCCUCAAGACAUGGUGCCGCUGGUGAGAAAGCUUAAGGACAUAAUACAGGCUAACAACAACACAACCACAGUCAAAUGCCUGCGGACAGUGAAGCUUACCUGCAAGCUGGUCGUUUCAAUGGCACAGCUCAAGCCCAUGUGCAUCAAAGAUUUCACAGAGCACAAUUUCAUGGAUCUACACUUGGAGUCUUUGAAGACGUUGUCAGAUCUCGAUAACUGUCUCAUAUUAUUUGAGGUCGAUGAUCAUUAUCAGGUGACAAAGACUGAUCAAAUUUAUCAAAUGAUGGUAGCAGCUCAAGGGGUGCAACAUAUAGAAAGCCCAUCACAACAUGGGUCUAAUUCUCGACAGGUGAUAUAAUAUUGCAUAUGUUUAGUCAGUGUCUAUCAUGUUAAUUAGGCUUGUUUCCUUUAUCUCACUAACACUUUUUCCCUUUUUAUUUUUCUUUAGAACUCAAGGGUGCAUCGUUCAGAUGAGGUAGCACAUGAUUACAAUGGUAAUAACCAUUCACAAAAUAUGGUUGAAGAUGACUUCCAACUUACUAGGCGAGUUGCAAGCACUAUGGGUCGUCUAAGGAAUCGUGUAGAUGUUAAUACUAUUGAAGAGCAAAGUCACAGGCGAGACAUUGCAACAAUGGUACCUCAAAGAAAUCAUGGAUCAUCUCAAAAUGCAGAUGAUAAUCCUGUAAUUUUCUCAUCUAUCACUUCAUAUUUAUGUUUCAUUAUUUGAACUUUGUAAUCUUACUUCGCAUAUUUUAUUAGGUUGGUAAAGAAGUGAUAUUAUAUUCUAUGAUGAGAUCAGAAGUUCCUGUUGCAAUAGCAAAUAUUAUCUCAACCGACCCAACCACUAAGGUGGGAGAUGUUCCUCUUGGAAGAGAGUUCACACAGGUUUUUGUGACUCGCGUGCUAAAAAGGGAAAGUACUCUGCCACGACCAUACUUAGGUGUAGAGAGUAUGGGAGAUGCUCUUUUUAUGCCCAUUGCAUGGCCAACAAACAAGGUAAUACUACAACCUUGUAUUUUAUUUAUGUAAUUAAUGGAACAAGCUUCUAAUGUUCUGUAUUUUUAGAUGGGUCGUAACAAAAAAUCAACGUUGACCCAAGGUUCUAUAGCAGCAGGUAAAUAUUUUCUUCA